AUGUCUGGGAAACUGCCUGAUGGAGGGGGAUAACUACUGGAAACGGUAGCUAAUACCGCAUAACGUCGCAAGACCAAAGAGGGGGACCUUCGGGCCUCUUGCCAUCAGAUGUGCCCAGAUGGGAUUAGCUAGUAGGUGGGGUAACGGCUCACCUAGGCGACGAUCCCUAGCUGGUCUGAGAGGAUGACCAGCCACACUGGAACUGAGACACGGUCCAGACUCCUACGGGAGGCAGCAGUGGGGAAUAUUGCACAAUGGG
rnacentral:rRNA from 1 species